GACAGAGGGUGCAAACGUUGUUCGGAAUUACUGGGCGUAAAGCGUGUGUAGGCGGUCUCUUAAGUCGGAUGUGAAAGCCCCGGGCUCAACCCGGGAAGUGCACUCGAAACUGGGAGGCUAGAGUACUGGAGAGGUUGGUGGAAUUCUCGGUGUAGAGGUGAAAUUCGUAGAUAUGGGGAGGAACACCGGUGGCGAAGGCGGCCACCUGGACGGAUACUGACGCUGAGACGCGAAAGCGUGGGGAGCAAACAGG
rnacentral:rRNA from 1 species